UACCUGCAGCUCGAGUGGUAACCGCUAUUAUUGGGCCUAAAGCGUCCGUAGCCGGUUUGGUAAAUAUCUGGGUAAAUCGUGAGGCUUAACUUCACGAAUUUCGGAUAGACUGCCAGACUUGGGAUCGGGGGAGGUCAGAGGUACUCCAGGGGUAGCGGUGAAAUGUUGUAAUCCUUGGGAGGACCACCGGUAGCGAAGGCGUCUGACUAGAACGAGUCCGACGGUGAGGGACGAAGCCCUGGGGCGACAAACCGGAUUAGAUACCCGGGUAGUCCAGGGUGUAAACGAUGUGGGCUUUGUAUUGGAGGUCCCACGUGGGCGUCCAGUGCAGAAGAGAAGUUGUUAAGCCCACCGCCUGGGAAGUACGGUCGCAAGGCUGAAACUUAAAGGAAUUGGCGGGGGAGCACAGCAACGGGAGGAGCGUGCGGUUU
rnacentral:rRNA from 1 species